GUGUGGAUUCCAGAUACAAAAUUCAUGUACAAUAAUAGUUCACAAAUGAUGAAGGUAGUCACAUUCCUAGAGAACAUUUAUCAAUGAGAAAAUAGCUUUAAUACACUGACAGCAAAAAUCAAACCCUCCAUAAUCUUGUAUUUCAAUGCAAUAUAAACAGUACGAUACAUAGCUUUUUUUCAAGCACCUUGAAUGUGACAGAUGCUUUUCAAAAGAACAAAAUCUAGGAAAGACAUGGUCCUGCUGCCAUUAGCUCUGCAGAAUCACAGUGUUUUGUUUUUUUUACUUUUGAGUUCAUUUACUGAAGUACAAGGGUGAAUGAAGCACAGACUAUGAAAUAGCAAUAGUAACAGAUUUAAGAACUGGAAAAGUUUAUCUAAUGGGAUGAAACAAACUGGAAACAUUUGUUAACAGUAUGGCUUAAGCAACUGAGAUGCUUCAACAUACAAGGCCUAUACAAUAUCACAAAUGUAAGAUAUCAGAUUUUCAUGUCAAAUAUAUGAACUGGUACUGACAAAGCAACAUUUUUUUAGUUACUGGUAGCAAUAUUUCCUCAAAAUUGAAUCUGACAACACAUUGUGAAAUGAAUGAAUCCAGAUAACUGCCACCUGAUGAGACUAAGUUAAUGGGCUUGAUUUUUCAAGUCAUUUUUAAAAAUACAUGAUUCCUUAAAGUUUUAACACAAAUGGGCAAACAAGACAAUGUAUCAAAGAUUACAGAGACUGAGAAUGCUAAGUAGGUUCUUACACUUACAGUUACAUCAUAUGCACUACAGACUUGCAGCACUUAAAAAAGGAUUGAAACCAUGUAAAAUUUUUUGUGCUUCAGUCUCUUCUGGAGAGCUCCUAAAAGAUAUACAGGUGUAUAAUCCUUAUAACUUGUUCCACAAUUCAGAAACAUUUCAGUUAUAGACAAGUAUUUGCCACAGUAAAAAAAAAAUAUAUAUCACUAGGAAAUCAAGUUAUCAUGAUUUCCAAAUAUAAUUAUGUAUAUAAACAAAAAAGUAUUAAUUUCUAAUAACCACAGUAUGAGGAAAAAAGUUUACAAUAAUUUCCAUGAAAAACAGAUGCAACUAUAUUUUUAGUUAUUACAUGGCUAUCUUGAGGUUUAAUGAGUUUUACAUGAAUGAGGUAAAAUCUCAAUCAUUCCAUGUAGACUCUGGUGUACUAUGAAGAACACUAAAGAUAAGAGUCAAAUGACCCAUGUUUUAAUCCCUUGUUCUGUCAUUUAUUACAUUUGUGGUCUUAGACAAAGUCCCAAUAUCCCUGACUUUGUUUCUUUACCUUAAAAAGAUGGAUAUUUGCUCUACUUAUGCAAAUAUAAGGGAUGAUAAUGAACAGCCUGCACUUACUGUCCUCAAUAGAUUAGGCUAUUGCUGAUUCCUUUAAACAUUAGGUUCUAGAUAAUUGAUUAGGCCCAAUCAUCAAGAUGAAGGUAGAUAACCCAAAUACAUGUGACAGCAUAUUUCAUUGUCAUCUUGCCAACUGAAAUGUAAAUAUCGAGAGAAAGCUCUGGCAAGGUGGAUAGGAGCUGGACUUAGGAGCGAGCAAAGGUUGGGUUCAAGACUUGUCUCAAAUAUUUUCAGUAAUCUUGGGUCAGCUGCUUAACCUUUCAUUGCUGUCAGCCACUCCUUAAGAGUAUAAAUUGCAAAACAAAUGCUCAUCUGCACUUAUAUGGAACGUACCCUAAGAAAGCUCCCUAAUAUGGUAAAAUAAAUGGUGAAAAAAAAGUUUUCAGAAAUUAUGUUUCCCAUUACUUAAGGUCUUUCCAUCUCGAUAACAAUUUUCAAAAUUUUUGAUCCUUUUCCUCAUAUGUAAAAUGGGCUUAAUAACUACAUUCUUUAUUUCACAGAGUUGUUGUAAGGAACUGUUUCAUACAUCUCCAAGUAUUAAAAGUAGAAAUGUAAGUUAUUCUUUCUCUUCAGAAUGGUUUACUGACCAAUGGUAAGUUCUGUGGAAACAGAAAGCACUCAUAGAACCAGGAAUAAGAGUUUAAAUGACUCUAUAAAGAAUGCAUUCAGGUCAGUGUAAAAAGAAAAGUCCUAAAAUAUUACUUUAGAGGCAUAAAUAAACAAUUCUACAUAAUGACAAUAUAAGAAAUAGCUUUUAAUCUUGAAUCAUGAAAAAGAAAAAUCCUCUUUUCUUGCUAACCGAGUCUCAGGGAUUGCUUCUCACCCAAAACAGCCUAAAAGGAACUUAUUAGGCUAUCUUUUUGCAAUUUCUUUAAUGUGUUUUAAAGGAAGAAAAGAUGGAGGAUAUAUUGGGUAAAUUUAUUUUAACAAAAUGAUCUUUUCUAUUCAGAAUUCUCUCCCCUGGGGUUAUCAACUUCCAUUCUUAAAUGCUGGCCUAUUAUAUCAUUAUGUUCAAGAAAGUUUAAAAUAUAUAGAACAUAGCAUUGGCAUUCUUAAGUUUUCAAAUACUGAGGAAGGAGAGGAUUCAGAAUAGUCCUAAAAGCAAAUGGAAAUUAGGUAGGUGAAAAAAACUAAGUUUUAAGAUCUCACUUCCAGGAGUAAGACCUAAGUUUUUUCUUCAUAAAUUCUCUAAAGUUAGUUUGAAAAUGGUAUAAUAUCAUGGGGGUAGGUAGGUGAUGCAGUGGAUGAGGAUUGAGUGAAUAGAGAAUUAGGAAGACCUGAGUUCAAAUCCAACCAUAGUCCUUUACUAGUUAGUGUGUGGCUAGUAAAUGGACAAGACUGGGCAAGUCACUUAACUCCAACUACUUUAGCCGCCCUCCCAAUAGUAUAGUAUUCAAGGAGCCUAGUUAUAUAUUUUAUUUAUGAUAUUGGACCCAGAAAUCCCUAGCACUUUUUACUCUUUGUAUGUAAGUGAUUACUGAUUUUAGGAUAUCAACCAUGUCCAGAAAGAAAAAAUUCACAACUGAAAAUUAGUUGGCAGACCAAAAAUAACUUUAAAAGAAAAAGAAGAAACUACUAUACAAACAUUUUAUGUUUUAAAAAUGUCUUUGCUUAUCAAACUGAUAAAAUAAAAGAAAACAUCAUGUGAAAUUUUAAAAUGAUAUUUCAAUCAAGUGUUCAAGUAACAUUGUCAAGUAGAAAUGGAACCCCCCCCAAAAAUCAAUACUACACAGCAAUUUGAAAUGAAAAAUAAAAUCAAUAAUCAAAAGCAUAAACGUGUUUCAUAUAUACAGUUUCAAAUAAAAUGUUUUAAUGCUGCAGAAAAUCAGUCCCACUUAAUUUAAAACAUUUUUAUUUUCUUAAAGGUAUUUUCUCCACACUUUUUCUUAAUACUCUUUUCCUUGCUACUGAGUUGGUGACUGAUUUUAUUUACAUACACACAUGCCCAUGCACAUAUACUGCUUUCCCCAUUCUACAAUAGUUUUAUGUAUACAAACCCCAAUGAGACCACAAUGAGACAUUAUGAUUUUCAGAUUUUUAACUCAACUGCAGGAACUAGUAAAAAGGAAAGAAGAAUCAAUAUUUGAAAGGAAAUUGGGGAGGCAGCACCUUCAUUUACGAAGUACUAAUUUAUAAAAAGUACAGAAAACUAUAAGGAAGGAAAGACUUGUUUUCCUAGGGUAUGGAUUUCAAAUCUGUGCUCUACUAAAUGCAAAAAAUAAGAACUAGCCUUCCAACUUUUGGGCCAAAGGAAUAUAUCACAAUAGGAAUUAUUAGCUUAUCUACCCAGUACUUUUUGUAGUUACUGUUCUCAAAAGAAAAUCCAUACUGAAGGCAAAUCAUUUUCAUUAAACUAAAUAAAAUAUCCCUCAUUUUUUUGGUAUUCAAUUGCAAUGUCUUACUUUUUCUUACAGAAACAAAAUAUGAAUUAAAUAUCUGCACUAAUUUGCAGGUAUGUGAAAUUCUAAAAUUCCUUUAUUAAGAACAAAAAACUGCUAAGUAUUUGAAUCAUCACUUUCAAUUAUAUUUUAUAACUGAAAACAUUACAAAUUUUGCCUGUUAGCACAGCAAAAAAACCCAAAAAACAAAAAACAAAGAAACAACAAUAACUAACAAUUUGGGAAAUAAAUUUUUUUCUCAAUCAAUAAAAGAGAAUUGGUUGAUUGAAGUUUCAUUUUGUAAAAAUUACAACUAAUCUAAAUUUCUAUAAUGAAAGCACCUCAAAUGCAAAGCAAAUACUGAGCAUCUCUUGAACUAUUCCAUGCAAAUAUACAUGCUGUCUAAAGAUGGUGGUAUCUUCCAAAUCAUUUAACAUUGCAUGAUCAACUGUAUUCCAAGGUCUAAAAUGGGCAUAAGAUCACAAAGCUAUCCAUUAUUCUUGCUGGAGUCCAGUAAUUUUUUUUCCCUCUUCAGUUUUGGGUGGUUAUCAACAGCAAUAUCCGAUAUUACUACAUACCUAACACUAGGGGGACCCAAUUUCAGCUCUCAAGUUAACCAAAUGAAGGCACUAAAUGGUUUCACAGAGAAACCAACUUUUACACUAUUUCUUUCUAAUUAUUGGAGACUGGCAUUGUUUAAUCUAAACACACCUAACACUAAUUUAAAUGGUGUCCUAUCCAAUUGCUAUUUUUGAUCUAAACAGAAGGCUUUACAAUGAAAAAUGUCAAGAUGGGUAUAUCCCCAAUUGCUGUAAGUACAGACUGUUUCAGAACAAGCAGAAACUGGUGAAAUUGCAGCUCACCUACCUUAAGCAUUUUUUCCUAGGGCUGCCCCGAAAGCAGAAGUCAGAAAAUAGUAAAUGUCCUCCCUGCCUCACCAAGAUGCACACAGAUAAAAACAAAGCACAGGAAAAAAGAAAAAAAAAAAAAAAAUUAAAUCCAGUAUCAGGUUUCAGUGCAGUUGGGAAAUAAUUUUCCUUUUUUAAAGAACAAGUGACCUUUCAUAUUCAAAUGUUAUCCACACUCCCAUAAUAAAGGCCCUAAUGGGUGUCCACUAAGUACAAAUGAUAUCUCACUUCAUAUCAGGAAAUAAGAGACUUAAACAGUACCAGCAAGUGCCCUCAUUUAAGAUGUGAAUCAUUUCAGAUACCCAGUCUCCAGAUAUAUUUCACAAAUUUAUCAAAAACUUAAAUGAGAAUUCCUGAUUAUUUGCAAAAUGUGAAAGAAGGGCUCUUUUGCUGAGAUUGUCUGGUUCUAAUUUUAAUUUCCAAUUAUUGACCCAAACACGAGCCCCUCAAAAUAGAGGCUCUUGAAAGGAUUACAGCCACCACCUUUAUAAGCACAGCAUGAAUGAUGCCAUUCUGACGUCCUCAAUGAACAAAAAUAGAUUCAUGCCACAAGAGCCAUGUGGUAUAUAAUAUACACAUACUGUAUCACUUCAUACCAAUGUAUUUACAAAUAUAUACACAUAUACAUACAUGUACACACACAAGAUUGCAUCAAGCAUCACAAAAAUAUAUAUACGUAUAUAUCAUUACAAGGAAAAAGAUUUAAAAUAAAUAAUGGCAACUAUAGAAUCACAGUCCCUCAAAAGGAUACUGCAUACUUUCCCAACACGUGAAUGCACACACACACAUACAAGCAUAUAUAAACCCACUCAACAUGCCAUAAUCAACUAAUAGGAAAGCCCUAGUAUCAUUCAUAUCAAAGUCAAAAUAACUUGGGUUUACCUAAGUCUGUUAGUGGAGCAAUAGCAUGAACCAGCUAAAAAGAAGUGCCCCACAAAUUCAGUUAUCAUUGUUCUGCACUUAGUAUGCUUUUAAAUCCUGGAACUGAGUAGGGCUACACAGAGUGGUGUUUAUAAAUUUCUAUUGAACAGAAUGGAACACAUCUCAUUUUGAUCAGGGUUAGCUGCAUGCAACUUUGGUGCCAGUUCUCCCACAAAGAAUUGUCAACACAAUCUAAUGCCCUCUUAAAGGCAAUCAAUCACUCAGAAAAUAAUUAACUUACAGUAAGCAGGGCUAAUUGGCAAGGACAGAUAUAUGACAGAAAGGAAUUGGUUGAGAAAGUUUGAUUACUAAUCUAUCCGCAGGACCCACUCCAAAUCAGGUGUGCUCUUUCCAUCUGUGCCACACAAAUACAAUAUAAUUCUUAUCUAUUUCAGGGAAUUAAAACGCAAGAAAAAAAAAAAAAAAAAGAAAAAUGAAUCCUAUGAGAGAAAUUGACUGGGACUUAGGUAUUUUACAUCGACAGACUCCAAAAUGUUUCAGCUUGGUAAAACUUAUGGAAGGUACAAAAAAGAUCAAAUGUGCUAAUGCUUUUUUCAGUUUUUAAUGUCAAGCUCCUAUCUUUUUAGGAAAUACACUUCAAAAACGAAUCUUGCCCUGCUAAAAAUAAAUUCAUGCAAGUUUAAGUAUGUCACUUUACUCCUAAGCAAAAAAUAAAUAAAUAAAUAACUUGCAUAUGUAUGCUGAAUUUUCAGUUUCUCAAUUUCACACAACUGUUUUUGAAUCAGUGUUUUGUGCAAUUUGACCAAAACAAACAAACAAACAAAAAACACCUCACAAGUUCUAAAGCAAGUGCCACGGCUAAAAAAAAAACAAAACAAAACAAAACAAAAAAACUCUAUAGAAGUGUAUAGUCUAGUGUGAAAAAAUGCUGGGAUGAUAGUUAAAAUUUCCUUGAUUCUGGAUCUGGCUCCAGCACUAAACAUGUGAUUUUAAAUGAGUAUCAAAGACUCUGGGGUCCAGUUUCUUUACCUGGAAAAACAGGAAUAAUACAUAUCUUAUUUGCCUUAAAGUUAUAAGGAUAAAAUAUUAUUAUCAAUUAAUUGAAAACAUCAUACAAAUAUCAUUAUUACUAUAGUUAUUAUGAAAAUUAGUAGUGAUAAAACUAUUGUGCUUAAAAUUUAUUUUGUGGAGUCCUGAUUUUGUAGUUUUUAGUAUCUUUCUAUUCUUUUCAUGAUUCCUUUCAAUAUCCAUUUAGAGAUCAACUAUUACCAAGAGAAAACUGCUACAAAACAGCAAAAUGUAUUUUAACCCAAGGAGCAAAAUUGUGCAUCAAUCUUUGUUGGAAUAAAUAUGCUUAGGUAAGCAGUCCUUAUUGCUUGGUUAUUGACCCUGGUUGAAGAUUUCUAGCAUUAACAGGGGCAUGGACUGCUUCUGGAGCAUGAAAAUAGUAUUUAUGCAUUUAAAUUACAAGUAUUUGCUCAGAACAUCAUUCUCUUUUUGAAAUAAAUAGCUGUCUUAGAAUUAUAGUGCUGCAAGAGACCUCAGGGAGCACCUAGUACAACUUCAUUUUAAAAAAGAAAACUAAGACCAGGUAGAAGUGACUAAAAGCUCAGUAUUAAUCAACUGAAUGACAUGGCAACCAAAAACAAAUGCUGCAAUCUCUGGAUUGUAUUUACAAAAAAAGCAUAGUGUACAGAAUGAUGUACUUUGCCCUUGUCAGUAUGCAUGUAUUGAGUUCCAGGUACCACAUUUUAUGAAGGAUAUUGACAAAUUGGAAUACAGAUAAAGGAGGGUAAAUGGAAUGGUGAGAAGAUGUCAGAACGAGCCAGAGAAGAUAUAAGUGAUGUUUAGCUAGAAGAGACUUCUGAGAGAGAACUAAUGGCCAGGCUCAAGGAUUUAGUUUUGUCCUGCCCAAUUCUCCAAGGCAUAAAUAGGAGCAUUAAAUGGAAGUUAAAAAGACAAAUUUAGGCUUUACAUAAAGGAACACUUUCUAAUAGUAUGAGCAGUCCAAAAGUAGGAUGAGUUGCCUCAGGAGGUAGUUGGUUCAGUGUCACCAGAGGUGUUCAAGUGAAGAUCAAAUCACUACUUGUUGGAGAAAUUGUAGAGAAAAUUCAUUUUCAGGCAUGGGUUGGACUAAAUGACUUCUGAGGUUCAAAUCAGAUUUUAUUUUUUGCCUAGUUAACCAAAGGCACGGUCCUGGUAGUCCAGGCUCCUGGCUUUGAGAAUAGUGUUCUUCAUAUACACAACAAAAUUAGAAUACUGCUUUGGGUAAGCGGUCUUUCAAACUUUGCCAAAAU
ensembl:lncRNA